GUGGAUAGAAGACAGUGUAGAGAGGUGAUGGGGUGGAUAGAAGACAGUGAAGAGAGGUGAUGGGGUGGAUAGAAGACAGUGUAGAGAGGUGAUGGGGUGGAUAGAAGACAGUAUAAAGAGGUGAUGGGGUGGAUAGAAGACAGUGAAGAGAGGUGAUGGGGUGGAUAGAAGACAGUGUAGAGAGGUGAUGGGGAGGAUAGAAGACAGUGUAGAGAGGUGAUGGGGUGGAUAGAAGACAGUGUAGAGAGGUGAUGGGGUGGAUAGAAGACAGCGUAGAGAGGUGAUGGGGUGGAUAGAAGACAGUAUAAAGAGGUGAUGGGGAGGAUAGAAGACAGUGUAGAGAGGUGAUGGGGUGGAUAGAAGACAGUGUAGAGAGGUGAUGGGGUGGAUAGAAGACAGUGUAGAGAGGUGAUGGGGUGGAUAGAAGACAGUGAAGAGAGGUGAUGGGGUGGAUAGAAGACAGUGUAGAGAGGUGAUGGGGUGGAUAGAAGACAGUGAAGAGAGGUGAUGGGGUGGAUAGAAGACAGUAUAAAGAGGUGAUGGGGGGAUAGAAGACAGUAUAAAGAGGUGAUGGGGAGGAUAGAAGACAGUAUAAAGAGGUGAUGGGGUGGAUAGAAGACAGUAUAAAGAGGUGAUGGGGAG